rnacentral:rRNA from 1 species
AGUGAACGCUGGCGGUAGGCCUAACACAUGCCAGUCGAACGGCAGCACAGUAAGAGCUUGCUCUUACGGGUGGCGAGUGGCGGACGGGUGAGGAAUACAUCGGCAUCUACUUUUUCGUGGGGGAUAACGUAGGGAAACUUACGCUAAUACCGCAUACGACCUACGGGUGAAAGCAGGGGAUCUUCGGACCUUGCGCGAUUGAAUGAGCCGAUGUCGGAUUAGCUAGUUGGCGGGGUAAAGGCCCACCAAGGCGACGAUCCGUAGCUGGUCUGAGAGGAUGAUCAGCCACACUGGAACUGAGACACGGUCCAGACUCCUACGGGAGGCAGCAGUGGGGAAUAUUGGACAAUGGGCGCAAGCCUGAUCCAGCCAUGCCGCGUGGGUGAAGAAGGCCUUCGGGUUGUAAAGCCCUGUUGUUGGGAAAGAAAAGCAGCAGGUGAAUAUACCGAUGUUCUGACGGUACCUAAAGAAUAAGCACCGGCUAACUUCGUG